rnacentral:tRNA from 2 species
AUUAAAGUCAGCUAACUAAGCUCCUGGGCCCAUACCCCAAACAUGAUGGUUCAAAUCCGUCCUUUGAUA